rnacentral:rRNA from 1 species
CCUACGGGAGGCUGCAGUAGGGAAUAUUGCUCAAUGGGGGAAACCCUGAAGCAGCAACGCCGCGUGGAGGAUGAAGGUUUUAGGAUUGUAAACUCCUUUUGUGAGAGAAGAUAAUGACGGUAGCUCACGAAUAAGCACCGGCUAACUCCGUGCCAGCAGCCGCGGUAAGACGGAGGGGGCAAGCGUUAGCCGGAAUCACUGGGCGGAAAGCGGGCGGAGGCGGGCUUUUACGUCAGAUGUGAAAUCCUGACGCUUACCUUCAGAACUGCAGGUGAAACGAUGAGUCUUGAGUGUGGGAGCGGUAGGUGUAGUUCGUGUUGUAGGGGUAAAAUCCGUAGAUAUCAAGAGGAAUACUCAUGGCG